UGGGGAAUAUUGGACAAUGGGCGAAAGCCUGAUCCAGCCAUGCCGCGUGUGUGAAGAAGGUCUUCGGAUUGUAAAGCACUUUAAGUUGGGAGGAAGGGCAGUAAGCGAAUACCUUGCUGUUUUGACGUUACCGACAGAAUAAGCACCGGCUAACUCUGUGCCAGCAGCCGCGGUAAUACAGAGGGUGCAAGCGUUAAUCGGAAUUACUGGGCGUCAAGCGCGCGUAGGUGGUUCGUUAAGUUGAAUGUGAAAGCCCCGGGCUCAACCUGGGAACUGCAUCCAAAACUGGCGAGCUAGAGUAGGGCAGAGGGUGGUGGAAUUUCCUGUGUAGCGGUGAAAUGCGUAGAUAUAGGAAGGAACACCAGAGGCGAAGGCGACCACCUGAGCUCAUACUGACACUGAGGUGCGAAAGCGUGGGGAGCAAACAGG
rnacentral:rRNA from 1 species